rnacentral:rRNA from 1 species
UGGGGAAUAUUGCACAAUGGAGGGAACUCUGAUGCAGCGACGCCGCGUGAACGAAGAAGGCUUUCGAGUCGUAAAGUUCUUUUAUAUGGGAAGAUAAUGACGGUACCAUAAGAAAAAGCCCCGGCUAACUACGUGCCAGCAGCCGCGGUAAUACGUAGGGGGCUAGCGUUGUCCGGAAUCACUGGGCGUAAAGGGUUCGCAGGCGGAAAUGCAAGUCAGGUGUAAAAGGCAGUAGCUUAACUACUGUAAGCAUUUGAAACUGCAUAUCUUGAGAAGAGAAGAGGUAAGUGGAAUUUUUAGUGUAGCGGUGAAAUGAGUAGAUAUUAAAAAGAAUACCGGCGGCGAAGGCGAUAUACUGGGCUCAUUCUGACGCUGAGGAACGAAAGCGUGGGUAGCAAACAGG